AAUUGAUGCAAAUUAAUCAAUUAGAUAUAGCUAAAGAUUAUGGCGCUUAAAUUAAUGCAAAUUAAUCAAGAUAUGGCAAAAGACUAUGAUGCUUACUCGUUAAUAAUGCAAAUUUGAAAAAUAUGGUAAUUUGAUAAAUUUCUUCCCCAUUUUUAGGGUUUGAAAAAAGUUCCAAUUUAAAUCCAAAGCUUUUCUUUUCAAAUAUCAUUUUGAAGAUAUCAAAGGAAGAUUAUUUGUUAUGUCAGUUUCUCUUGUAUAUGUAAGUGCAACAGAAGAAAAAAAAGUUCAAUGAGGAUCUAGGAAAAAAAAGUUCAAUGAGGAUCUAGGAAUGCUUUGGAGGAAGGAGAAAAAGAAAGUUUGAUCGAGGAUUGUGUUUCAUGGUUUCUGGUUGUUUAUAGAUUACUGAUUUCGUCUCUCUGUCACUAGUACAUUAUCAUUUCAUCUUGAAUUGUCUCAAAUGAUUACUGGGAAAGGAGUUGUAGUUUAUUGUAAAAUGAGCAUUCAGGAUAUGAGUUUUUUAGAUACCAAGAGAGCUAGAUUUCAUCACUAUGAAGCCAAGUGGUAUUUAGCAGUUGAGUAUUCAAACAUUAUAAUUAAGGAUUACACUAAAUUAUAGAUAGUCCAUUUCAGCAAAG
rnacentral:misc_RNA from 1 species